rnacentral:rRNA from 1 species
AUGCUGCGGCAGGAGGAGAAGCUGCGCUGCACCAAGGAGCCCUUCAUCGAGGAUGUCGGCACCCGAAGGAUAAAGAGCAUGCGGUUCAGCAUGUUCUCCGGCAAGGAGAUACGCCAGUCCGCGGAGGCGCAGGUCUGGAACAACCGGAUCUACGAGCCCAACAUGAAGCCGGCGCCCAACGGACUGCUAGACACGCGGAUGGGAGCUGCGAACAAGCAGGGGGAGUGCGGCACCUGCCACGGUUCGUACACUGAGUGCCCAGGCCAUUUCGGUUACCUGAAGCUCGCGCUGCCGGUUUUCAAUAUUGGGUUCUUCAACAAUAUCCUGGAUGUAGUCAAGUGUAUCUGCAAGGGCUGUAGCAGGGUCCUUCUUGUGGAGAAAGAUCGCCGAGAGUUUCUGAAGAAGAUGCGACAACCUAGAGCAGAGCCACUGGUCAAAUUUGCCCUCAUGAAGAAAGUGAGGGACAAAUGCAAGCUAUCCCGUUGCCCCUGGUGUGGAUUCAUAAAUGGUGUAGCUAAGAAGGGCAGAAUGGGCUUGGUAAUUGUUCAUGAUUGUAGCAAAACUUUGGACGGAAGUACAGAAGAGCUCCGGUCUGCGUUAUCACACAAGAAAGAAAAACUAGCCAUUACUUCAAUUCACACAUUGGACCCUGCAACUGUUCUAUCUCUUUUCAGAAGAAUGAUUGAUGAGGACUGUGAAUUGCUAAACCUUGGUGAUAGGCCUGAGAAACUUAUCAUUACAGAGAUCGCAGUGCCACCUGUGCCUAUCCGUCCUUCCGUUUUUGUUGGUGGCGGUGGUGGUAGAAUGAGCAAUGAAGAUAGUAUUACUUGCAUAUUGAAGAAUAUUGUUAAUACAAAUUCCAUCCUUAAGGGGACCCUUCAAAGUGGUGAACCGCUUGCGAAGUGCUUUGAUUGCUGGCAACACCUUCAGCUUCAAGUUGUUGAAUAUAUCAAUAGUGACGCCCCUUGUCUUAUUGACUCACAACACCGUGGCCUUAUUCAACGACUCAAAGGUAAGACAGGCCGUUUUCGUGGGAACUUGUCCGGAAAACGUACGGAGUACACCGGAAGGACUGUCAUAUCUCCUGACCCAAAUUUGAGGAUAACAGAGGUGGCUAUUCCUAUUUUGAUGGCUCGAGUCUUGACUUAUCCUGAAAGAGUUUCAUACUAUAACAUAGAGAAGCUGCGUCAAUGUAUACGAAAUGGACCACACAAACAUCCAGGGGCAAAUUUUAUAUUACAACCUGAUGGAACGAAGCUGCACUUAAAGUACUGUGAUAGAAGGAUCGCUGCUCGGGAUUUGAAAUAUGGCUGUAUAGUCGAAAGGCAUUUAGAAGAUGGCGACAUUGUCCUCUUCAACAGACAACCGAGCUUGCAUAGAAUGUCAAUCAUGUCACACAGGGCAAGGAUAAUGCCCUGGAGAACACUAAGAUUUAAUGAGUCUGUAUGCAACCCGUACAAUGCUGAUUUUGAUGGAGAUGAGAUGAAUUUGCACGUCCCACAGACAGAGGAAGCUCGUACUGAAGCACUUAUGCUUAUGGGGGUUCAGAACAAUUUAUGUACCCCUAAGAAUGGGGAAAUACUGGUUGCUUCCACGCAGGACUUUUUGACAUCUUCUUUUCUGAUCACGAGAAAAGACUCCUUCUAUGACAGGUCUUCCUUUACUCUCUUAUGUUCAUAUCUUGGAGAUGCAAUGGAAAAUAUUGAUUUGCCAACACCAGCAUUAAUUAAGCCUAUUGAGCUUUGGACUGGUAAACAACUAUUCAGUGUGUUAGUACGUCCUAACGCAUUUACAAAGGUCUAUCUGAAUCUUGGUGUUAGAGAGAAAAUCUGUACGAAGAAAUGCGCUCUUACUGUCGAAGAUAAGACAUCUGAAGCAGUACAUGAUGCAAUGUGUCCGAAUGAUGGUUUUGUCUACUUCCGAAACAGUGAACUUUUAUCUGGGCAAGUUGGGAAGAAAACUUUAGGUAAUGGGAAUAAUGAGGGCAUGUUCUCCGUUCUUAUAAGAGAUUAUAAUUCUCACGCUGCAGCAAGCUGUAUGAAUCGUCUGGCGAAGUUUAGUGCAAGGUUCAUAGGGAAUCAUGGGUUUUCAAUUGGUGUGGAUGAUGUCCAACCAGGAGAAAGUCUAAAUGAGAAAAAGGGGAAAACAAUAGGAGAAGGAUAUCAAGAAUGCCAUGAGCUUAUUGCUCAAUAUUCAAAGGGUGCACUCAAACCACAACCAGGAUGCAGUAGAGCUCAAACAUUGGAGGCUCGGAUAUCUGGUGUACUAAAUAAAUUAAGAGACACAGCUGGAGAUCACUGUAUGAGUACACUUCACUGGAGGAACAGCCCAUUGAUUAUGUCUCAGUGUGGAUCUAAAGGUUCUCCAAUCAAUAUCAGUCAGAUGGUUGUAUGUGUUGGCCAACAAUCAGUUGGAGGACGCCGUGCCCCAAAUGGUUUUAUAGAUCGAACGCUUCCUCACUUCCCUAUAAAUUCAAAGACCCCCGCGGCGAAAGGUUUUGUUGCUAAUUCAUUCUAUACCGGUUUGACUGCUACAGAGUUUUUCUUCCAUACAAUGGGUGGAAGAGAAGGUCUUGUUGACACAGCGGUCAAAACAGCAGAAACUGGAUACAUGUCCCGUAGGUUAAUGAAGGGUUUGGAAGAUCUCUCAGUUUUCUAUGAUCAGACAGUCCGCAAUGCUAGUGGUGGUAUAGUUCAAUUCGUCUAUGGAGAUGAUGGCAUGGAUCCUGUAAAGAUGGAAGGAAAAGGUGGCAACCCCUUGAAUCUGGACCAAUUGUUUAUGAAAGUCAUGGCCACAUGUCCUCAAAGGGGACAUGAAACAUUAUCUCCUGAGGCAAUCUCACAAAUGUUAAAUGAUAAGCUCUCCGAACAAGACCCCUCAGCUGGUGGUUGUAGCGAUAGGUUCAAGGAAUUGUUAACAAAAUUUGUCGGGAAUCGCAUCAAAAUGCUGAGAAACACAAGGCGGGCACUUCACCUAGAUGAAGAUCAUGUGGGAAGGAAGGACUCCAGCAUUGAGGAGUGCGUUGCUGCUAAUAUUUCUGGCAUAGCUGCAAAACAACUGCAGGUUUUUCUUGAUACUUGUUUAUCUCGUUAUCACUCAAAAAUAAUCGAAGCAGGAGCAUCAAUUGGUGCAAUCGGGGCUCAGAGUAUUGGGGAGCCUGGGACCCAGAUGACACUGAAAACCUUUCAUUUUGCAGGAGUAGCCAGCAUGAAUGUUACUCUUGGAGUUCCUCGCAUCAAGGAAAUCAUCAAUGCUGCUAAAAAGAUAAGCACACCUAUUAUAACUGCAGAACUUUUGUCUGGGCAGGAUGAGUCAUUUGGCGUAAAGGUGAAACGUUGUAUCGAGAAAGUAGUGCUGGGUGAGGUGGCAGCAGCCAUAAAGAUUGUCUUGAAAUCAAGCCAGCCAAAUUUGGUUGUGAAACUUGAUAUGCAACGAAUAGAAGCUCAGGGGUACGAAGGAAUCAAUGCCGACUCUGUGCAGCUAUCAAUAAUAAAUUAUCCAAAACUCAAGUUAAAAUCUCAGCAUGUUCGUGUAAUUGAUGAAGCCAAGUUGAGAAUAUAUCCAGAUGGAACAGAUAGAUCCAAACUCCAGUUUGAGCUGCACAAUCUCAAAUCCAUGCUUCCAAAAGUGAUUGUGAAGGGUAUUCCAACUGUUGAAAGAGCUGUUGUCAACCCCGUUAAAGGACGUGACAAAACCAUCGAAAGAUAUAACCUGCUGGUUGAAGGAACAAACCUGUUAGCAGUAUUGGGUGCUCCAGGAGUUGACGCUAUGAAAACACAAAGUAAUCACAUCAUGGAGGUGAACCAGACACUCGGAAUCGAGGCCGCAAGGAGAUCUAUCAUCGAUGAGAUUCAGUAUACAUUUGAGAGCAACAACAUGAUCAUUGAUCUGAGACAUAUGAUGCUUCUGGCAGAUCUGAUGACAUACAAGGGGGAAGUCCUGGGCAUCACGAGAUAUGGGAUUGCGAAGAUGAAGAGCAGCGUGCUGAUGCUGGCCUCUUUCGAGAAAACUUCGGAGCAUCUCUUCAAUGCUUCAUACGCCGGGCGUGAGGAUCAGAUAGAUGGAGUCAGUGAGUGCAUUAUCAUGGGCAUACCCAUGCAACUUGGCACCGGCAUUCUCAAAGUUAGGCAAAGGCUCGAGAGUUUGCCGGAAUUUAAGUACCAGCCUGCUCCGAUCAUGUCGUCAUAA